CUCCGUCCAGCCGCCUCAGUGACCAUCGUCAAGUCUGCCACAGGAGGAUAUUUUUUGAGGUUAACCUGCUUUCUCCCUCGCAGGUCAAUUAUUACUGUUUGUAUAAACUUGUUAAAUCUUAGAAUUUCCGCAUGUGUUAGAAAUGUUUAUUUGAUUUGGGUCUGUAAACUAAAUUAUUAUUUUGGGACCUGUAAACUUAAUAUGCUAUGCAUGUUUGAUGGAUUGGAUGAGGGAGCUGAGCUCCCAUUUAUUAUUAA